ensembl:lncRNA
UUUGACAAUUUAGCAUUUAAAGAGCAUCUUAAUUUACUCUGAUCCUUUGAUGGGAUCAGCAGAUACUUAAAAGCCAUUAGGUGUGACACAUUUUUGCGUAGUCAUGUGCCUCUCUGUGAGUGUGCUGUUAUUUUUGGACGAGAGAACAUGCAGUGCUGGUAUGCACUUUAUUGUCUAUAGCGUGACUGCAACAACACAUCUGAGAAAAUAUUUUGUGCUUUAUUAAAAGACAUAAAAAACACAAUUCAAGCAGUUUUUGGUGGGAAAAGGAUAACAUGUCUGCCUAUAAUCUAUACAAUGUUUCUGGUCCAAUCUUACAGGUUAUAAAAGUCCUCUUCAGCCAAAUUCCCAUCACCCGUCAUCUGCUUCCUCUUCUUGAGCCUUCCGGGAGCAGAGCUGGCCAGAGCAGUUCUUCAGCUGGCAGCUUUAGCAUGUGUACAGAAACAUAAAGCUUGCCAGUGAAGAACUGCUGUGCAUCAGCUGGUAUGAAGCCGGCGAGCGUGAGAGAGCCUGCAGUGAUGCACAAUCCGCUUUAAGGCGCAAAUGGUGACUCCUUCCUCUUUCUUCCUCUGGCUUUAGGUGCAUGUAUUUCUGCAGAAAGAGAAGAAAAGAUUGUUUAACUUCCCCUACAAACUCCCUGCUUUAGUAGCGUGGGCAUGAGGUGGCAUACAGCCAGUCACACACGUACAGUAAGUGGGUGCAGUCGAAUCACAGUGUGUGCAAUCAGCUGUGAGUAAGUGGGUGAAGUGAGCUGAUAUGCAAAGGAAAAAAAGUGCCCGGGGAGAUGCACACAAGAUCAUGCGUCAGAUCACCAGGAUGGACAAGCGGAUCAGCGGCUCAGCUGCCUCUGCACGAUAUACAGUGCCAGCGAGAAAUUCUUAGACAUUCUUUUAGUUACAGGAUGCUCGCAUUCAGAGAGCAGCCUCCUGAACGAGAAAAAAAAAGAAAUUUUGUCAGUUACCGUGGUUACAAAGGAUGAGCGAGAAGCGCUGAAUAGGAGCAGACAGCCCGUACAAGAGAG